rnacentral:misc_RNA from 1 species
AGUAAGAAGAGUUGGGACUACAAAUUCGUAACAAUAAAUAUUUUAUAUUUUACUACAAUGAAAAUUAUUUCCAUAUUAUCCUUAGCCGUUUGUGUUGUAGCUACAAUGGCUAUGCCAUCAAAGGUCUCAACAACGUAUAAUGAUAAUUAUCCGGCUUUGAAAGAUGAACUGUGCAACGACCACGACUAUCGAACAGACAACUUCAAUUUAUUUGGGCAACUAAUUUAUCUACUUUUGACAUUACCAGACGAAGAUAACUAUACGAAAUUCAAUUGCCGUAAUUACUUAAGUAUUUCAAGAAAAGCACUGGCUGUACUUCUUCGACUUAGAAAUAUUGACAGAGUGAACUAUGAAAAAUUCGACUCCCAUCCCAAGAGAACUUUAGAUAGUAUUGGUGGUGGACAUUUAAUAAAAAGAAGCGAAAAUUUCGGCUUUUAAAUAAAUAUUUAAUUAAUUUUAUAUCUUAAGAAAUGCUGGGAAUAAGUUUGUCUGUAAAAUUUAUUUGUUCAUAAGUGCAUGCACUUACCAAUAAUGUUAAUGUUUUUUCUCUACAAAGCUGACUUUAAAGACAUGAAUCUGGACAAUAUAUACGGAUACGUAAGGAUGCUUAUGGAUUUGGACAACAGGAUCCGGCGAUGCCUCUUAUCAAACUCUU